rnacentral:rRNA from 1 species
AUUGAACGCUGGCGGCAGGCCUAACACAUGCAAGUCGCGCGAGCGGCGGACGGGUGAGUAAUGUCUGGGAAACUGCCCGAUGGAGGGGGAUAACUACUGGAAACGGUCGCUAAUACCGCAUACCAUCAGAUGGACCCAGAUGGGAUUCGCUAGUAGGUGGGGUAAUGGCUCACCUAGGCGACGAUCCCUAGCUGGUCUGAGAGGAUGACCAGCCACACUGGAACUGAGACACGGCCCAGACUCCUACGGGAGGAAGCAGUGGGGAAUAUUGCACAAUGGGCGCAAGCCUGAUGCAGCCAUGCCGCGUGUGUGAAGAAGGCCUUAGGGUUGUAAAGUACUUUCAGCGGGGAGGCGUUACCCGCAGAAGAAGCACCGGCUAACUCCGUGCCAGCCGCCGCGGUAAUAC